rnacentral:lncRNA from 1 species
UUUUUUCACUCUUGUCCUUGACAAGUAUCUAAUGUAGACCAUAGAGUUUUGGGUUUUGGUUUUGAUUUUGACAACUGGGAUGGCCGAUCAGAUUUCAACUGGGAGACAGGCCAGCCUUGAAUGUGCCUGUGCAAAUAGGUCAACAAAUAUGACAUCUAAAUAUACAUUGGAGUUAGAGUUAAAUUUUCUUUAAAGUUCAAUUAUUGUAGACAUAUCUUUCUGAUCAGCAUGAAUCUUUGGUCAGCUUUUAUGACAAAGGGUGUAGAUCAGUGGCGAUUGCUCUAAGACUGCAAGGGAAGCUCGGCUUCCCUUAAAAUGUCACCCCCCAAAAAAAAGAAAAAGUGGUGAAAUACGUACUGCUGUGUGUACAUUUCAUUAACUAAAUACGCGCUAGAAAGCCUUCAUCUUUUGUUCAGACACUGUGAUAAGAAGCUGAUAAUUAUAGGUAACCGGCAUAACUUCGUUCUCAUUCAUCCUCGCAGCGCCUCAGCGCUUUAAACAGCCGGACGCUGGGCUUCUGCUGACUUCAAUGUGGAAGCUAAAAGUGGGUUGUUCCAGCAGCGAAACUAGACGCUCAUUGGAUAAAUGCUGGGCUUUGUCCCGCCCAAUGGAAGCUAAGCUUCACUGGAGUUCUAUGGCGAGAGGGCGGUCCCGACUUUCUCCCGGACUGCAAGCUUCUGCAUCCAUGAUUGGAUGAGCUGUCUGAGGCGAAAUCCUUUUUUGAUUGACAGCUAAACAAGCGAAUAAGCGAUCUUGAAGAAUAAAACAUCUACCAGAGCAUUUUCCAAGUCAUUCAUUCCGUUGUUCUUAACUGCUCCGGAGACUUUACCGAUCCUCAGCGACUUCUGUCUUUAUUAAAAACGACUGCCGUUGUGUUUGGCGACUCUGUUCUGUUACAUACUAAUAAACAAAUACAAUUAUGAUGUAGGCCAGAAAAAUGAGCUUCCCCUCAUUGAAAGACCAGCAGCCGCCACUGGUGUAGAUGUUUCGAAAUCAAGCAGGUACAACUAAAGGUAUAUUUUGAGGAUGGAGCAGAUGCUUGAUCAUACAUUUGAUGUUUCUUCCACAAGUUUUUUCUUUUCACCCAGCCUAAAAGUCCUGAUUAUCAGUUCUGGGUUCCUGGCAAUGACUGUUGGGUACAAACUGAAAACCUUUGUUCUGCAGGUAGGGCUGGGCUUUUCACUGACCAUGGAGGUGGAUUAGUUGUGUGGGCAAAGUGUGUCAUCAUAGCCACUAUGUUUUCUGCACUUGGAGUAGACAGCACCUUGAUAGCUCAGUUGGUAGAGCAGAGGACUGUAGGCAGUUCCUCCUAUGAAGUGCUGUCGUUCCAAGGUCGCUGGUUCAACUCCCUCUCAAAGCAAGCCUUGUCUUCAUCUGUCAGCUCCUCCAAAAUUUAAUAACACAAACAAGAUAACUCCUACUUUAUAUUCCAACCAUCAAUUUUUUAUUCACCCAGCCUAAAAGUCCUGAUCAUCAGUUCUGGGUCCCUGGCAAUGACUGUUGGGUACAAACUGAGAAGCUGUGCUCUGAAGGUAGGGCUGGGCUUUUCACUGACCAUGUAGGUGGAUUAGUUGUGUGGGCAAAGUGUGUCAUCAUAGCCACUAUGUGUUCUGCACUUGGAGUAGACAGCACCUUGAUAGCUCAGUUGGUAGAGCAGUGGACUGUAUGCAGUUCCUCCUAUGAAGUGCUGUCGUUCCAAGGUCGCUGGUUCAACUCCCGCUCAAAGCAAGCCUUGUCUUCAUCUGUCAGCUCCUCCAAAAUUUAAAAACACAAACAAGAUAACUCCUACUUUAUUUUCCAACCAUCAAUUUUUUAUUCACCCAGCCUAAAAGUCCUGAUCAUCAGUUCUGGGUCCCUGGCAAUGACUGUUGGGUACAAACUGAGAAGCUGUGCUCUGAAGGUAGGGCUGGGCUUUUCACUGACCAUGUAGGUGGAUUAGUUGUGUGGGCAAAGUGUGUCAUCAUAGCCACUAUGUUUUCUGCACUUGGAGUAGACAGCACCUUGAUAGCUCAGUUGGUAGAGCAGAGGACUGUAGGCAGUUCCUCCUAUGAAGUGCUGUCGUUCCAGGGUCGCUGGUUCAACUGGCACUCAAAGCAAGCCUUGUGUUCAUCUGUCAGCUCCUCCAAAAUUUAAAAACACAAACAAGAUAACUCCUACUUUAUUUUCCAACCAUCAAUUUUUUAUUCACCCAGCCUAAAAGUCCUGAUUAUCAGUUCUGGGUCCCUGGCAAUGACUGUUGGGUACAAACUGAGAAGCUGCGCUCUGAAGGUAGGGCUGGGCUUUUCACUGACCAUGUAGGUGGAUUAGUUGUGUGGGCAAAGUGUGUCAUCAUAGCCACUAUGUUUUCUGCACUUGGAGUAGACAGCAUCUUGAUAGCUCAGUUGGUAGAGCAGGGGACUGUAGGCAGUUCCUCCUAUGAAGUGCUGUGGUUCCAAGGUCGCUGGUUCAACUCCCGCUCAAAGCAAGCCUUGUCUUCAUCUGUCAGCUCCUCCAAAAUUUAAAAACACAAACAAGAUAACUCCUACUUGAUUUUCCAACCAUCAAUUUUUUAUUCACCCAGCCUAAAAGUCCUGAUUAUCAGUUCUGGGUCCCUGGCAAUGACUGUUGGGUACAAACUGAGAAGCUGCGCUCUGAAGGUAGGGCUGGGCUUUUCACUGACCAUGUAGGUGGAUUAGUUGUGUGGGCAAAGUGUGUCAUCAUAGCCACUAUGUUUUCUGCACUUGGAGUAGACAGCAUCUUGAUAGCUCAGUUGGUAGAGCAGAGGACUGUAGGCAGUUCCUCCUAUGAAGUGCUGUCGUUUCAAGGUCGCUGGUUCAACUCCCGCUCAAAGCAAGCCUUGUCUUCAUCUGUCAGCUCCUCCAAAAUUUAAAAACACAAACAAGAUAACUCCUACUUUAUUUUCCAACCAUCAAUUUUUUAUUCACCCAGCCUAAAAGUCCUGAUUAUCAGUUCUGGGUCCCUGGCAAUGACUGUUGGGUACAAACUGAGAAGCUGUGCUCUGAAGGUAGGGCUGGGCUUUUCACUGACCAUGUAGGUGGAUUAGUUGUGUGGGCAAAGUGUGUCAUCAUAGCCACUAUGUUUUCUGCACUUGGAGUAGACAGCACCUUGAUAGCUCAGUUGGUAGAGCAGAGGACUGUAGCCAGUUCCUCCUAUGAAGUGCUGUCGUUCCAGGGUCGCUGGUUCAACUCCCGCUCAAAGCAAGCCUUGUGUUCAUCUGUCAGCUCCUCCAAAAUUUAAAAACACAAACAAGAUAACUCCUACUUUAUUUUCCAACCAUCAAUUUUUUAUUCACCCAGCCUAAAAGUCCUGAUUAUCAGUUCUGGGUCCCUGGCAAUGACUGUUGGGUACAAACUGAGAAGCUGCGCUCUGAAGGUAGGGCUGGGCUUUUCACUGACCAUGUAGGUGGAUUAGUUGUGUGGGCAAAGUGUGUCAUCAUAGCCACUAUGUUUUCUGCACUUGGAGUAGACAGCACCUUGAUAGCUCAGUUGGUAGAGCAGAGGACUGUAGGCAGUUCCUCCUAUGAAGUGCUGUCGUUCCAAGGUCGCUGGUUCAACUCCCGCUCAAAGCAAGCCUUGUCUUCAUCUGUCAGCUCCUCCAAAAUUUAAAAACACAAACAAGAUAACUCCUACUUUAUUUUCCAACCAUCAAUUUUUUAUUCACCCAGCCUAAAAGUCCUGAUUAUCAGUUCUGGGUCCCUGGCAAUGACUGUUGGGUACAAACUGAGAAGCUGUGCUCUGAAGGUAGGGCUGGGCUUUUCACUGACCAUGUAGGUGGAUUAGUUGUGUGGGCAAAGUGUGUCAUCAUAGCCACUAUGUUUUCUGCACUUGGAGUAGACAGCACCUUGAUAGCUCAGUUGGUAGAGCAGAGGACUGUAGGCAGUUCCUCCUAUGAAGUGCUGUCGUUCCAAGGUCGCUGGUUCAACUCCCGCUCAAAGCAAGCCUUGUCUUCAUCUGUCAGCUCCUCCAAAAUUUAAAAACACAAACAAGAUAACUCCUACUUUAUUUUCCAACCAUCAAUUUUUUAUUCACCCAGCCUAAAAGUCCUGAUUAUCAGUUCUGGGUCCCUGGCAAUGACUGUUGGGUACAAACUGAGAAGCUGUGCUCUGAAGGUAGGGCUGGGCUUUUCACUGACCAUGUAGGUGGAUUAGUUGUGUGGGCAAAGUGUGUCAUCAUAGCCACUAUGUUUUCUGCACUUGGAGUAGACAGCACCUUGAUAGCUCAGUUGGUAGAGCAGAGGACUGUAGGCAGUUCCUCCUAUGAAGUGCUGUGGUUCCAAGGUCGCUGGUUCAACUCCCGCUCAAAGCAAGCCUUGUCUUCAUCUGUCAGCUCCUCCAAAAUUUAAAAACACAAACAAGAUAACUCCUACUUUAUUUUCCAACCAUCAAUUUUUUAUUCACCCAGCCUAAAAGUCCUGAUUAUCAGUUCUGGGUCCCUGGCAAUGACUGUUGGGUACAAACUGAGAAGCUGCGCUCUGAAGGUAGGGCUGGGCUUUUCACUGACCAUGUAGGUGGAUUAGUUGUGUGGGCAAAGUGUGUCAUCAUAGCCACUAUGUUUUCUGCACUUGGAGUAGACAGCACCUUGAUAGCUCAGUUGGUAGAGCAGAGGACUGUAGGCAGUUCCUCCUAUGAAGUGCUGUGGUUCCAAGGUCGCUGGUUCAACUCCCGCUCAAAGCAAGCCUUGUGUUCAUCUGUCAGCUCCUCCAAAAUUUAAAAACACAAACAAGAUAACUCCUACUUUAUUUUCCAACCAUCAAUUUUUUAUUCACCCAGCCUAAAAGUCCUGAUUAUCAGUUCUGGGUCCCUGGCAAUGACUGUUGGGUACAAACUGAGAAGCUGUGCUCUGAAGGUAGGGCUGGGCUUUUCACUGACCAUGUAGGUGGAUUAGUUGUGUGGGCAAAGUGUGUCAUCAUAGCCACUAUGUUUUCUGCACUUGGAGUAGACAGCACCUUGAUAGCUCAGUUGGUAGAGCAGAGGACUGUAGGCAGUUCCUCCUAUGAAGUGCUGUCGUUCCAAGGUCGCUGGUUCAACUCCCGCUCAAAGCAAGCCUUGUGUUCAUCUGUCAGCUCCUCCAAAAUUUAAAAACACAAACAAGAUAACUCCUACUUUAUUUUCCAACCAUCAAUUUUUUAUUCACCCAGCCUAAAAGUCCUGAUUAUCAGUUCUGGGUCCCUGGCAAUGACUGUUGGGUACAAACUGAGAAGCUGUGCUCUGAAGGUAGGGCUGGGCUUUUCACUGACCAUGUAGGUGGAUUAGUUGUGUGGGCAAAGUGUGUCAUCAUAGCCACUAUGUUUUCUGCACUUGGAGUAGACAGCACCUUGAUAGCUCAGUUGGUAGAGCAGAGGACUGUAGGCAGUUCCUCCUAUGAAGUGCUGUCGUUCCAAGGUCGCUGGUUCAACUCCCGCUCAAAGCAAGCCUUGACUUCAUCUGUCAGCUCCUCCAAAAUUUAAAAACACAAACAAGAUAACUCCUACUUUAUUUUCCAACCAUCAAUUUUUUAUUCACCCAGCCUAAAAGUCCUGAUUAUCAGUUCUGGGUCCCUGGCAAUGACUGUUGGGUACAAACUGAGAAGCUGUGCUCUGAAGGUAGGGCUGGGCUUUUCACUGACCAUGUAGGUGGAUUAGUUGUGUGGGCAAAGUGUGUCAUCAUAGCCACUAUGUUUUCUGCACUUGGAGUAGACAGCACCUUGAUAGCUCAGUUGGUAGAGCAGAGGACUGUAGGCAGUUCCUCCUAUGAAGUGCUGUGGUUCCAAGGUCGCUGGUUCAACUCCCGCUCAAAGCAAGCCUUGUCUUCAUCUUUCAGCUCCUCCAAAAUUUAAAAACACAAACAAGAUAACUCCUACUUUAUUUUCCAACCAUCAAUUUUUUAUUCACCCAGCCUAAAAGUCCUGAUUAUCAGUUCUGGGUCCCUGGCAAUGACUGUUGGGUACAAACUGAGAAGCUGCGCUCUGAAGGUAGGGCUGGGCUUUUCACUGACCAUGUAGGUGGAUUAGUUGUGUGGGCAAAGUGUGUCAUCAUAGCCACUAUGUUUUCUGCACUUGGAGUAGACAGCAUCUUGAUAGCUCAGUUGGUAGAGCAGAGGACUGUAGGCAGUUCCUCCUAUGAAGUGCUGUCGUUCCAGGGUCGCUGGUUCAACUCCCGCUCAAAGCAAGCCUUGUGUUCAUCUGUCAGCUCCUCCAAAAUUUAAAAACACAAACAAGAUAACUCCUACUUUAUUUUCCAACCAUCAAUUUUUUAUUCACCCAGCCUAAAAGUCCUGAUUAUCAGUUCUGGGUCCCUGGCAAUGACUGUUGGGUACAAACUGAGAAGCUGCGCUCUGAAGGUAGGGCUGGGCUUUUCACUGACCAUGUAGGUGGAUUAGUUGUGUGGGCAAAGUGUGUCAUCAUAGCCACUAUGUUUUCUGCACUUGGAGUAGACAGCAUCUUGAUAGCUCAGUUGGUAGAGCAGAGCACUGUAGGCAGUUCCUCCUAUGAAGUGCUGUGGUUUCAAGGUCGCUGGUUCAACUCCCGCUCAAAGCAAGCCUUUUCUUCAUCUGUCAGCUCCUCCAAAAUUUAAAAACACAAACAAGAUAACUCCUACUUUAUUUUCCAACCAUCAAUUUUUUAUUCACCCAGCCUAAAAGUCCUGAUUAUCAGUUCUGGGUCCCUGGCAAUGACUGUUGGGUACAAACUGAGAAGCUGUGCUCUGAAGGUAGGGCUGGGCUUUUCACUGACCAUGUAGGUGGAUUAGUUGUGUGGGCAAAGUGUGUCAUCAUAGCCACUAUGUUUUCUGCACUUGGAGUAGACAGCACCUUGAUAGCUCAGUUGGUAGAGCAGAGGACUGUAGGCAGUUCCUCCUAUGAAGUGCUGUGGUUCCAAGGUCGCUGGUUCAACUCCCGCUCAAAGCAAGCCUUGUGUUCAUCUGUCAGCUCCUCCUAAAUUUAAAAACACAAACAAGAUAACUCCUACUUUAUUUUCCAACCAUCAAUUUUUUAUUCACCCAGCCUAAAAGUCCUGAUUAUCAGUUCUGGGUCCCUGGCAAUGACUGUUGGGUACAAACUGAGAAGCUGCGCUCUGAAGGUAGGGCUGGGCUUUUCACUGACCAUGUAGGUGGAUUAGUUGUGUGGGCAAAGUGUGUCAUCAUAGCCACUAUGUUUUCUGCACUUGGAGUAGACAGCACCUUGAUAGCUCAGUUGGUAGAGCAGAGGACUGUAGGCAGUUCCUCCUAUGAAGUGCUGUCGUUCCAAGGUCGCUGGUUCAACUCCCGCUCAAAGCAAGCCUUGACUUCAUCUGUCAGCUCCUCCAAAAUUUAAAAACACAAACAAGAUAACUCCUACUUUAUUUUCCAACCAUCAAUUUUUUAUUCACCCAGCCUAAAAGUCCUGAUUAUCAGUUCUGGGUCCCUGGCAAUGACUGUUGGGUACAAACUGAGAAGCUGUGCUCUGAAGGUAGGGCUGGGCUUUUCACUGACCAUGUAGGUGGAUUAGUUGUGUGGGCAAAGUGUGUCAUCAUAGCCACUAUGUUUUCUGCACUUGGAGUAGACAGCACCUUGAUAGCUCAGUUGGUAGAGCAGAGGACUGUAGGCAGUUCCUCCUAUGAAGUGCUGUCGUUCCAAGGUCGCUGGUUCAACUCCUGCUCAAAGCAAGCCUUGUCUUCAUCUUUCAGCUCCUCCAAAAUUUAAAAACACAAACAAGAUAACUCCUACUUUAUUUUCCAACCAUCAAUUUUUUAUUCACCCAGCCUAAAAGUCCUGAUUAUCAGUUCUGGGUCCCUGGCAAUGACUGUUGGGUACAAACUGAGAAGCUGCGCUCUGAAGGUAGGGCUGGGCUUUUCACUGACCAUGUAGGUGGAUUAGUUGUGUGGGCAAAGUGUGUCAUCAUAGCCACUAUGUUUUCUGCACUUGGAGUAGACAGCACCUUGAUAGCUCAGUUGGUAGAGCAGAGGACUGUAGGCAGUUCCUCCUAUGAAGUGCUGUGGUUCCAGGGUCGCUGGUUCAACUCCCGCUCAAAGCAAGCCUUGUGUUCAUCUGUCAGCUCCUCCAAAAUUUAAAAACACAAACAAGAUAACUCCUACUUUAUUUUCCAACCAUCAAUUUUUUAUUCACCCAGCCUAAAAGUCCUGAUUAUCAGUUCUGGGUCCCUGGCAAUGACUGUUGGGUACAAACUGAGAAGCUGUGCUCUGAAGGUAGGGCUGGGCUUUUCACUGACCAUGUAGGUGGAUUAGUUGUGUGGGCAAAGUGUGUCAUCAUAGCCACUAUGUUUUCUGCACUUGGAGUAGACAGCACCUUGAUAGCUCAGUUGGUAGAGCAGAGGACUGUAGGCAGUUCCUCCUAUUAAGUGCUGUGGUUCCAAGGUCGCUGGUUCAACUCCCGCUCAAAGCAAGCCUUGUGUUCAUCUGUCAGCUCCUCCAAAAUUUAAAAACACAAACAAGAUAACUCCUACUUUAUUUUCCAACCAUCAAUUUUUUAUUCACCCAGCCUAAAAGUCCUGAUUAUCAGUUCUGGGUCCCUGGCAAUGACUGUUGGGUACAAACUGAGAAGCUGCGCUCUGAAGGUAGGGCUGGGCUUUUCACUGACUAAGUUGGUAGAGCAGAGGACUGUAGGCAGUUCCUCCUAUGAAGUGCUGUCGUUCCAGGGUUGCUUGUUCAACUCCCGCUCAAAGCAAGCCUUGUGUUCAUCUGUCAGCUCCUCCAAAAUUUAAAAACACAAACAAGAUAACUCCUACUUUAUUUUCCAACCAUCAAUUUUUUAUUCACCCAGCCUAAAAGUCCUGAUUAUCAGUUCUGGGUCCCUGGCAAUGACUGUUGGGUACAAACUGAGAAGCUGUGCUCUGAAGGUAGGGCUGGGCUUUUCACUGACCAUGUAGGUGGAUUAGUUGUGUGGGCAAAGUGUGUCAUCAUAGCCACUAUGUUUUCUGCACUUGCAGUAGACAGCAUCGUGAUAGCUCAGUUGGUACAGCAGAGGACUGUAGGCACUUCCUCCUAUGAAGUGCUGUGGUUCCAAGGUCCCUGGUUCAACUCCCACUCAAAGCAAGCCUUGUCUUCAUCUGUCAGCUCCUCCAAAAUUUAAAAACACAAACAAGAUAACUCCUACUUUAUUUUCCAACCGUCAAUUUUUUAUUCACCCAGCCUAAAAGUCCUGAUUAUCAGUUCUGGGUCCCUGGCAAUGACUGUUGGGUACAAACUGAGAAGCUGUGCUCUGAAGGUAGGGCUGGGCUUUUCACUGACCAUGUAGGUGGAUUAGUUGUGUGGGCAAAGUGUGUCAUCAUAGCCACUAUGUUUUCUGCACUUGGAGUAGACAGCACCUUGAUAGCUCAGUUGGUAGAGCAGAGGACUGUAGGCAGUUCCUCCUAUGAAGUGCUGUGGUUUCAAGGUCGCUGGUUCAACUCCCGCUCAAAGCAAGCCUUGUGUUCAUCUGUCAGCUCCUCCAAAAUUUAAAAACACAAACAAGAUAACUCCUACUUUAUUUUCCAACCAUCAAUUUUUUAUUCACCCAGCCUAAAAGUCCUGAUUAUCAGUUCUGGGUCCCUGGCAAUGACUGUUGGGUACAAACUGAGAAGCUGCGCUCUGAAGGUAGGGCUGGGCUUUUCACUGACCAUGUAGGUGGAUUAGUUGUGUGGGCAAAGUGUGUCAUCAUAGCCACUAUGUUUUCUGCACUUGGAGUAGACAGCACCUUGAUAGCUCAGUUGGUAGAGCAGAGGACUGUAGGCAGUUCCUCCUAUGAAGUGCUGUGGUUCCAGGGUCGCUGGUUCAACUCCCGCUCAAAGCAAGCCUUGUGUUCAUCUGUCAGCUCCUCCAAAAUUUAAAAACACAAACAAGAUAACUCCUACUUUAUUUUCCAACCAUCAAUUUUUUAUUCACCCAGCCUAAAAGUCCUGAUUAUCAGUUCUGGGUCCCUGGCAAUGACUGUUGGGUACAAACUGAGAAGCUGCGCUCUGAAGGUAGGGCUGGGCUUUUCACUGACCAUGUAGGUGGAUUAGUUGUGUGGGCAAAGUGUGUCAUCAUAGCCACUAUGUUUUCUGCACUUGGAGUAGACAGCAUCUUGAUAGCUCAGUUGGUAGAGCAGAGCACUGUAGGCAGUUCCUCCUAUGAAGUGCUGUGGUUCCAAGGUCGCUGGUUCAACUCCCGCUCAAAGCAAGCCUUGUCUUCAUCUGUCAGCUCCUCCAAAAUUUAAAAACACAAACAAGAUAACUCCUACUUUAUUUUCCAACCAUCAAUUUUUUAUUCACCCAGCCUAAAAGUCCUGAUUAUCAGUUCUGGGUCCCUGGCAAUGACUGUUGGGUACAAACUGAGAAGCUGUGCUCUGAAGGUAGGGCUGGGCUUUUCACUGACCAUGUAGGUGGAUUAGUUGUGUGGGCAAAGUGUGUCAUCAUAGCCACUAUGUUUUCUGCACUUGGAGUAGACAGCACCUUGAUAGCUCAGUUGGUAGAGCAGAGGACUGUAGCCAGUUCCUCCUAUGAAGUGCUGUGGUUCCAAGGUCGCUAGUUCAACUCCCGCUCAAAGCAAGCCUUGUGUUCAUCUGUCAGCUCCUCCAAAAUUUAAAAACACAAACAAGAUAACUCCUACUUUAUUUUCCAACCAUCAAUUUUUUAUUCACCCAGCCUAAAAGUCCUGAUUAUCAGUUCUGGGUCCCUGGCAAUGACUGUUGGGUACAAACUGAGAAGCUGUGCUCUGAAGGUAGGGCUGGGCUUUUCACUGACUAUGUAGGUGGAUUAGUUGUGUGGGCAAAGUGUGUCAUCAUAGCCACUAUGUUUUCUGCACUUGGAGUAGACAGCACCUUGAUAGCUCAGUUGGUAGAGCAGAGGACUGUAGGCAGUUCCUCCUAUGAAGUGCUGUCGUUCCAAGGUCGCUGGUUCAACUCCCGCUCAAAGCAAGCCUUGACUUCAUCUGUCAGCUCCUCCAAAAUUUAAAAACACAAACAAGAUAACUCCUACUUUAUUUUCCAACCAUCAAUUUUUUAUUCACCCAGCCUAAAAGUCCUGAUUAUCAGUUCUGGGUCCCUGGCAAUGACUGUUGGGUACAAACUGAGAAGCUGUGCUCUGAAGGUAGGGCUGGGCUUUUCACUGACCAUGUAGGUGGGUUAGUUGUGUGGGCAAAGUGUGUCAUCAUAGCCACUAUGUUUUCUGCACUUGGAGUAGACAGCACCUUGAUAGCUCAGUUGGUAGAGCAGAGGACUGUAGGCAGUUCCUCCUAUGAAGUGCUGUGGUUCCAGGGUCGCUGGUUCAACUCCCGCUCAAAGCAAGCCUUGUGUUCAUCUGUCAUCUCCUCCAAAAUUUAAAAACACAAACAAGAUAACUCCUACUUUAUUUUCCAACCAUCAAUUUUUUAUUCACCCAGCCUAAAAGUCCUGAUUAUCAGUUCUGGGUCCCUGGCAAUGACUGUUGGGUACAAACUGAGAAGCUGUGCUCUGAAGGUAGGGCUGGGCUUUUCACUGACCAUGUAGGUGGAUUAGUUGUGUGGGCAAAGUGUGUCAUCAUAGCCACUAUGUUUUCUGCACUUGGAGUAGACAGCACCUUGAUAGCUCAGUUGGUAGAGCAGAGGACUGUAGGCAGUUCCUCCUAUGAAGUGCUGUGGUUCCAAGGUCGCUGGUUCAACUCCCGCUCAAAGCAAGCCUUGUGUUCAUCUGUCAGCUCCUCCAAAAUUUAAAAACACAAACAAGAUAACUCCUACUUUAUUUUCCAACCAUCAAUUUUUUAUUCACCCAGCCUAAAAGUCCUGAUUAUCAGUUCUGGGUCCCUGGCAAUGACUGUUGGGUACAAACUGAGAAGCUGCGCUCUGAAGGUAGGGCUGGGCUUUUCACUGACUCAGUUGGUAGAGCAGAGGACUGUAGGCAGUUCCUCCUAUGAAGUGCUGUCGUUCCAGGGUCGCUUGUUCAACUCCCGCUCAAAGCAAGCCUUGUUUUCAUCUGUCAGCUCCUCCAAAAUUUAAAAACACAAACAAGAUAACUCCUACUUUAUUUUCCAACCAUCAAUUUUUUAUUCACCCAGCCUAAAAGUCCUGAUUAUCAGUUCUGGGUCCCUGGCAAUGACUGUUGGGUACAAACUGAGAAGCUGCGCUCUGAAGGUAGGGCUGGGCUUUUCACUGACCAUGUAGGUGGAUUAGUUGUGUGGGCAAAGUGUGUCAUCAUAGCCACUAUGUUUUCUGCACUUGCAGUAGACAGCAUCGUGAUAGCUCAGUUGGUACAGCAGAGGACUGUAGGCAGUUCCUCCUAUGAAGUGCUGUGAUUCCAAGGUCCCUGGUUCAACUCCCACUCAAAGCAAGCCUUGUCUUCAUCUGUCAGCUCCUCCAAAAUUUAAAAACACAAACAAGAUAACUCCUACUUUAUUUUCCAACCAUCAAUUUUUUAUUCACCCAGCCUAAAAGUCCUGAUUAUCAGUUCUGGGUCCCUGGCAAUGACUGUUGGGUACAAACUGAGAAGCUGUGCUCUGAAGGUAGGGCUGGGCUUUUCACUGACCAUGUAGGUGGAUUAGUUGUGUGGGCAAAGUGUGUCAUCAUAGCCACUAUGUUUUCUGCACUUGGAGUAGACAGCACCUUGAUAGCUCAGUUGGUAGAGCAGAGGACUGUAGGCAGUUCCUCCUAUGAAGUGCUGUGGUUCCAAGGUCGCUGGUUCAACUCCCGCUCAAAGCAAGCCUUGACUUCAUCUGUCAGCUCCUCAAAAAUUUAAAUACACAAACAAGAUAACUCCUACUUUAUUUUCCAACCAUCAAUUUUUUAUUCACCCAGCCUAAAAGUCCUGAUUAUCAGUUCUGGGUCCCUGGCAAUGACUGUUGGGUACAAACUGAGAAGCUGUGCUCUGAAGGUAGGGCUGGGCUUUUCACUGACCAUGUAGGUGGAUUAGUUGUGUGGGCAAAGUGUGUCAUCAUAGCCACUAUGUUUUCUGCACUUGGAGUAGACAGCACCUUGAUAGCUCAGUUGGUAUAGCAGAAGACUGUAGGCAGUUCCUCCAAUGAAGUGCUGUCGUUCCAGGGUCGCUGGUUCAACUCCCGCUCAAAGCAAGCCUUGUGUUCAUCUGUCAGCUCCUCCAAAAUUUAAAAACACAAACAAGAUAACUCCUACUUUAUUUUCCAACCAUCAAUUUUUUAUUCACCCAGCCUAAAAGUCCUGAUUAUCAGUUCUGGGUCCCUGGCAAUGACUGUUGGGUACAAACUGAGAAGCUGUGCUCUGAAGGUAGGGCUGGGCUUUUCACUGACCAUGUAGGUGGAUUAGUUGUGUGGGCAAAGUGUGUCAUCAUAGCCACUAUGUUUUCUGCACUUGGAGUAGACAGCACCUUGAUAGCUCAGUUGGUAGAGCAGAGGACUGUAGGCAGUUCCUCCUAUGAAGUGCUCUCGUUCCAACGUCGCUGGUUCAACUCCCGCUCAAAGCAAGCCUUGUCUUCAUCUGUCAGCUCCUCCAAAAUUUAAAAACACAAACAAGAUAACUCCUACUUUAUUUUCCAACCGUCAAUUUUUUGUUCACCCAGCCUAAAAGUCCUGAUUAUCAGUUCUGGGUCCCUGGCAAUGACUGUUGGGUACAAACUGAGAAGCUGUGCUCUGAAGGUAGGGCUGGGCUUUUCACUGACCAUGUAGGUGGAUUAGUUGUGUGGGCAAAGUGUGUCAUCAUAGCCACUAUGUUUUCUGCACUUGGAGUAGACAGCACCUUGAUAGCUCAGUUGGUAGAGCAGAGGACUGUAGGCAGUUCCUCCUAUGAAGUGCUCUCGUUCCAGGGUCGCUGGUUCAACUCCCGCUCAAAGCAAGCCUUGUGUUCAUCUGUCAGCUCCUCCAAAAUUUAAAAACACAAACAAGAUAACUCCUACUUUAUUUUCCAACCAUCAAUUUUUUAUUCACCCAGCCUAAAAGUCCUGAUUAUCAGUUCUGGGUCCCUGGCAAUGACUGUUGGGUACAAACUGAGAAGCUGCGCUCUGAAGGUAGGGCUGGGCUUUUCACUGACCAUGUAGGUGGAUUAGUUGUGUGGGCAAAGUGUGUCAUCAUAGCCACUAUGUUUUCUGCACUUGGAGUAGACAGCACCUUGAUAGCUCAGUUGGUAGAGCAGAGGACUGUAGGCAGUUCCUCCUAUGAAGUGCUGUGGUUCCAAGGUCGCUGGUUCAACUCCCACUCAAAGCAAGCCUUGUCUUCAUCUGUCAGCUCCUCCAAAAUUUAAAAACACAAACAAGAUAACUCCUACUUUAUUUUCCAACCGUCAAUUUUUUAUUCACCCAGCCUAAAAGUCCUGAUUAUCAGUUCUGGGUCCCUGGCAAUGACUGUUGGGUACAAACUGAGAAGCUGUGCUCUGAAGGUAGGGCUGGGCUUUUCACUGACCAUGUAGGUGGAUUAGUUGUGUGGGCAAAGUGUGUCAUCAUAGCCACUAUGUUUUCUGCACUUGGAGUAGACAGCACCUUGAUAGCUCAGUUGGUAGAGCAGAGGACUGUAGGCAGUUCCUCCUAUGAAGUGCUGUCGUUCCAAGGUCGCUGGUUCAACUCCCGCUCAAAGCAAGCCUUGACUUCAUCUGUCAGCUCCUCCAAAAUUUAAAAACACAAACAAGAUAACUCCUACUUUAUUUUCCAACCAUCAAUUUUUUAUUCACCCAGCCUAAAAGUCCUGAUUAUCAGUUCUGGGUCCCUGGCAAUGACUGUUGGGUACAAACUGAGAAGCUGCGCUCUGAAGGUAGGGCUGGGCUUUUCACUGACCAUGUAGGUGGAUUAGUUGUGUGGGCAAAGUGUGUCAUCAUAGCCACUAUGUUUUCUGCACUUGGAGUAGACAGCAUCUUGAUAGCUCAGUUGGUAGAGCAGAGGACUGUAGGCAGUUCCUCCUAUGAAGUGCUGACGUUCCAGGGUCGCUGGUUCAACUCCCACUCAAAGCAAGCCUUGUCUUCAUCUGUCAGCUCCUCCAAAAUUUAAAAACACAAACAAGAUAACUCCUACUUUAUUUUCCAACCGUCAAUUUUUUAUUCACCCAGCCUAAAAGUCCUGAUUAUCAGUUCUGGGUCCCUGGCAAUGACUGUUGGGUACAAACUGAGAAGCUGUGCUCUGAAGGUAGGGCUGGGCUUUUCACUGACCAUGUAGGUGGAUUAGUUGUGUGGGCAAAGUGUGUCAUCAUAGCCACUAUGUUUUCUGCACUUGGAGUAGACAGCACCUUGAUAGCUCAGUUGGUAGAGUAGAGGACUGUAGGCAGUUCCUCCUAUGAAGUGCUGUCGUUCCAAGGUCGCUGGUUCAACUCCCGCUCAAAGCAAGCCUUGACUUCAUCUGUCAGCUCCUCCAAAAUUUAAAAACACAAACAAGAUAACUCCUACUUUAUUUUCCAACCAUCAAUUUUUUAUUCACCCAGCCUAAAAGUCCUUAUUAUCAGUUCUGGGUCCCUGGCAAUGACUGUUGGGUACAAACUGAGAAGCUGCGCUCUGAAGGUAGGGCUGGGCUUUUCACUGACCAUGUAGGUGGAUUAGUUGUGUGGGCAAAGUGUGUCAUCAUAGCCACUAUGUUUUCUGCACUUGGAGUAGACAGCACCUUGAUAGCUCAGUUGGUACAGCAGAGGACUGUAGGCAGUUCCUCCAAUGAAGUGCUGACGUUCCAGGGUCGCUGGUUCAACUCCCGCUCAAAGCAAGCCUUGUCUUCAUCUGUCAGCUCCUCCAAAAUUUAAAAACACAAACAAGAUAACUCCUACUUUAUUUUCCAACCAUCAAUUUUUUAUUCACCCAGCCUAAAAGUCCUGAUUAUCAGUUCUGGGUCCCUGGCAAUGACUGUUGGGUACAAACUGAGAAGCUGUGCUCUGAAGGUAGGGCUGGGCUUUUCACUGACCAUGUUGGUGGAUUAGUUGUGUGGGCAAAGUGUGUCAUCAUAGCCACUAUGUUUUCUGCACUUGGAGUAGACAGCACCUUGAUAGCUCAGUUGGUAGAGCAGAGGACUGUAGGCAGUUCCUCCUAUGAAGUGCUGUGGUUCCAAGGUCGCUGGUUCAACUCCCGCUCAAAGCAAGCCUUGUCUUCAUCUGUCAGCUCCUCCAAAAUUUAAAAACACAAACAAGAUAACUCCUACUUUAUUUUCCAACCGUCAAUUUUUUAUUCACCCAGCCUAAAAGUCCUGAUUAUCAGUUCUGGGUCCCUGGCAAUGACUGUUGGGUACAAACUGAGAAGCUGUGCUCUGAAGGUAGGGCUGGGCUUUUCACUGACCAUGUAGGUGGAUUAGUUGUGUGGGCAAAGUGUGUCAUCAUAGCCACUAUGUUUUCUGCACUUGGAGUAGACAGCACCUUGAUAGCUCAGUUGGUAGAGCAGAGGACUGUAGGCAGUUCCUCCUAUGAAGUGCUGUCGUUCCAAGGUCGCUGGUUCAACUCCCGCUCAAAGCAAGCCUUGUCUUCAUCUGUCAGCUCCUCCAAAAUUUAAAAACACAAACAAGAUAACUCCUACUUUAUUUUCCAACCGUCAAUUUUUUAUUCACCCAGCCUAAAAGUCCUGAUUAUCAGUUCUGGGUCCCUGGCAAUGACUGUUGGGUACAAACUGAGAAGCUGUGCUCUGAAGGUAGGGCUGGGCUUUUCACUGACCAUGUAGGUGGAUUAGUUGUGUGGGCAAAGUGUGUCAUCAUAGCCACUAUGUUUUCUGCACUUGGAGUAGACAGCACCUUGAUAGCUCAGUUGGUAGAGCAGAGGACUGUAGGCAGUUCCUCCUAUGAAGUGCUGUCGUUCCAGGGUCGCUGGUUCAACUCCCGCUCAAAGCAAGCCUUGUGUUCAUCUGUCAGCUCCUCCAAAAUUUAAAAACACAAACAAGAUAACUCCUACUUUAUUUUCCAACCAUCAAUUUUUUAUUCACCCAGCCUAAAAGUCCUGAUUAUCAGUUCUGGGUCCCUGGCAAUGACUGUUGGGUACAAACUGAGAAGCUGCGCUCUGAAGGUAGGGCUGGGCUUUUCACUGACCAUGUAGGUGGAUUAGUUGUGUGGGCAAAGUGUGUCAUCAUAGCCACUAUGUUUUCUGCACGUGGAGUAGACAGCAUCUUGAUAGCUCAGUUGGUAGAGCAGAGGACUGUAGGCAGUUCCUCCUAUGAAGUGCUUGGUUCCAAGGUCGCUGGUUCAACUCCCACUCAAAGCAAGCCUUGUCUUCAUCUGUCAGCUCCUCCAAAAUUUAAAAACACAAACAAGAUAACUCCUACUUUAUUUUCCAACCGUCAAUUUUUUAUUCACCCAGCCUAAAAGUCCUGAUUAUCAGUUCUGGGUCCCUGGCAAUGACUGUUGGGUACAAACUGAGAAGCUGCGCUCUGAAGGUAGGGCUGGGCUUUUCACUGACCAUGUAGGUGGAUUAGUUGUGUGGGCAAAGUGUGUCAUCAUAGCCACUAUGUUUUCUGCACUUGGAGUAGACAGCACCUUGAUAGCUCAGUUGGUAGAGCAGAGGACUGUAGGCAGUUCCUCCAAUGAAGUGCUGUCGUUCCAGGGUCGCUGGUUCAACUCCCGCUCAAAGCAAGCCUUGUCUUCAUCUGUCAGCUCCUCCAAAAUUUAAAAACACAAACAAGAUAACUCCUACUUUAUUUUCCAACCAUCAAUUUUUUAUUCACCCAGCCUAAAAGUCCUGAUUAUCAGUUCUGGGUCCCUGGCAAUGACUGUUAGGUACAAACUGAGAAGCUGUGCUCUGAAGGUAGGGCUGGGCUUUUCACUGACCAUGUUGGUGGAUUAGUUGUGUGGGCAAAGUGUGUCAUCAUAGCCACUAUGUUUUCUGCACUUGGAGUAGACAGCACCUUGAUAGCUCAGUUGUUAGAGCAGAGGACUGUAGGCAGUUCCUCCUAUGAAGUGCUGUGGUUCCAAGGUCGCUGGUUCAACUCCCGCUCAAAGCAAGCCUUGUCUUCAUCUGUCAGCUCCUCCAAAAUUUAAAAACACAAACAAGAUAACUCCUACUUUAUUUUCCAACCGUCAAUUUUUUGUUCACCCAGCCUAAAAGUCCUGAUUAUCAGUUCUGGGUCCCUGGCAAUGACUGUUGGGUACAAACUGAGAAGCUGUGCUCUGAAGGUAGGGCUGGGCUUUUCACUGACCAUGUAGGUGGAUUAGUUGUGUGGGCAAAGUGUGUCAUCAUAGCCACUAUGUUUUCUGCACUUGGAGUAGACAGCACCUUUAUAGCUCAGUUGGUAGAGCAGAGGACUGUAGGCAGUUCCUCCUAUGAAGUGCUGUCGUUCCAAGGUUGCUGGUUCAACUCCCGCUCAAAGCAAGCCUUGUCUUCAUCUGUCAGCUCCUCAAAAAUUUAAAAACACAAACAAGAUAACUCCUACUUUAUUUUCCAACCGUCAAUUUUUUAUUCACCCAGCCUAAAAGUCCUGAUUAUCAGUUCUGGGUCCCUGGCAAUGACUGUUGGGUACAAACUGAGAAGCUGUGCUCUGAAGGUAGGGCUGGGCUUUUCACUGACCAUGUAGGUGGAUUAGUUGUGUGGGCAAAGUGUGUCAUCAUAGCCACUAUGUUUUCUGCACUUGGAGUAGACAGCACCUUGAUAGCUCAGUUGGUAGAGCAGAGGACUGUAGGCAGUUCCUCCUAUGAAGUGCUGUGGUUCCAGGGUCGCUGGUUCAACUCCCGCUCAAAGCAAGCCUUGUGUUCAUCUGUCAGCUCCUCCAAAAUUUAAAAACACAAACAAGAUAACUCCUACUUUAUUUUCCAACCAUCAAUUUUUUAUUCACCCAGCCUAAAAGUCCUGAUUAUCAGUUCUGGGUCCCUGGCAAUGACUGUUGGGUACAAACUGAGAAGCUGCGCUCUGAAGGUAGGGCUGGGCUUUUCACUGACCAUGUAGGUGGAUUAGUUGUGUGGGCAAAGUGUGUCAUCAUAGCCACUAUGUUUUCUGCACUUGGAGUAGACAGCACCUUGAUAGCUCAGUUGGUAGAGCAGAGGACUGUAGGCAGUUCCUCCUAUGAAGUGCUGUGGUUCCAAGGUCGCUGGUUCAACUCCCGCUCAAAGCAAGCCUUGUCUUCAUCUGUCAGCUCCUCCAAAAUUUAAAAACACAAACAAGAUAACUCCUACUUUAUUUUCCAACCAUCAAUUUUUUAUUCACCCAGCCUAAAAGUCCUGAUUAUCAGUUCUGGGUCCCUGGCAAUGACUGUUGGGUACAAACUGAGAAGCUGUGCUCUGAAGGUAGGGCUGGGCUUUUCACUGACCAUGUAGGUGGAUUAGUUGUGUGGGCAAAGUGUGUCAUCAUAGCCACUAUGUUUUCUGCACUUGGAGUAGACAGCACCUUGAUAGCUCAGUUGGUAGAACAGAGGACUGUAGGCAGUUCCUCCUAUGAAGUGCUGUGGUUCCAAGGUUGCUGGUUCAACUCCCGCUCAAAGCAAGCCUUGUCUUCAUCUGUCAGCUCCUCCAAAAUUUGAAAACACAAACAAGAUAACUCCUACUUUAUUUUCCAACCGUCAAUUUUUUAUUCACCCAGCCUAAAAGUCCUGAUUAUCAGUUCUGGGUCCCUGGCAAUGACUGUUGGGUACAAACUGAGAAGCUGUGCUCUGAAGGUAGGGCUGGGCUUUUCACUGACCAUGUAGGUGGAUUAGUUGUGUGGGCAAAGUGUGUCAUCAUAGCCACUAUGUUUUCUGCACUUGGAGUAGACAGCACCUUGAUAGCUCAGUUGGUAGAGCAGAGGACUGUAGGCAGUUCCUCCUAUGAAGUGCUGUGGUUCCAAGGUCGCUGGUUCAACUCCCGCUCAAAGCAAGCCUUGUCUUCAUCUGUCAGCUCCUCCAAAAUUUAAAAACACAAACAAGAUAACUCCUACUUUAUUUUCCAACCAUCAAUUUUUUAUUCACCCAGCCUAAAAGUCCUGAUUAUCAGUUCUGGGUCCCUGGCAAUGACUGUUGGGUACAAACUGAGAAGCUGCGCUCUGAAGGUAGGGCUGGGCUUUUCACUGACCAUGUAGGUGGAUUAGUUGUGUGGGCAAAGUGUGUCAUCAUAGCCACUAUGUUUUCUGCACUUGGAGUAGACAGCACCUUGAUAGCUCAGUUGGUAGAGCAGAGGACUGUAGGCAGUUCCUCCUAUGAAGUGCUGUCGUUCCAGGGUCGCUGGUUCAACUCCCGCUCAAAGCAAGCCUUGUGUUCAUCUGUCAGCUCCUCCAAAAUUUAAAAACACAAACAAGAUAACUCCUACUUUAUUUUCCAACCAUCAAUUUUUUAUUCACCCAGCCUAAAAGUCCUGAUUAUCAGUUCUGGGUCCCUGGCAAUGACUGUUGGGUACAAACUGAGAAGCUGCGCUCUGAAGGUAGGGCUGGGCUUUUCACUGACCAUGUAGGUGGAUUAGUUGUGUGGGCAAAGUGUGUCAUCAUAGCCACUAUGUUUUCUGCACUUGGAGUAGACAGCACCUUGAUAGCUCAGUUGGUAGAGCAGAGGACUGUAGGCAGUUCCUCCUAUGAAGUGCUGUGGUUCCAGGGUUGCUGGUUCAACUCCCGCUCAAAGCAAGCCUUGUGUUCAUCUGUCAGCUCCUCCAAAAUUUAAAAACACAAACAAGAUAACUCCUACUUUAUUUUCCAACCAUCAAUUUUUUAUUCACCCAGCCUAAAAGUCCUGAUUAUCAGUUCUGGGUCCCUGGCAAUGACUGUUGGGUACAAACUGAGAAGCUGUGCUCUGAAGGUAGGGCUGGGCUUUUCACUGACCAUGUAGGUGGAUUAGUUGUGUGGGCAAAGUGUGUCAUCAUAGCCACUAUGUUUUCUGCACUUGGAGUAGACAGCACCUUGAUAGCUCAGUUGGUAGAGCAGAGGACUGUAGGCAGUUCCUCCUAUGAAGUGCUGUGGUUCCAAGGUCGUUGGUUCAACUCCCGCUCAAAACAAGCCUUGUCUUCAUCUGUCAGCUCCUCCAAAAUUUAAAAACACAAACAAGAUAACUCCUACUUUAUUUUCCAACCGUCAAUUUUUUAUUCACCCAGUCUAAAAGUCCUGAUUAUCAGUUCUGGGUCCCUGGCAAUGACUGUUGGGUACAAACUGAGAAGCUGCGCUCUGAAGGUAGGGCUGGGCUUUUCACUGACCAUGUAGGUGGAUUAGUUGUGUGGGCAAAGUGUGUCAUCAUAGCCACUAUGUUUUCUGCACUUGGAGUAGACAGCACCUUGAUAGCUCAGUUGGUAGAGCAGAGGACUGUAGGCAGUUCUUCCUAUGAAGUGCUGUCGUUCCAGGGUCGCUGGUUCAACUCCCGCUCAAAGCAAGCCUUGUGUUCAUCUGUCAGCUCCUCCAAAAUUUAAAAACACAAACAAGAUAACUCCUACUUUAUUUUCCAACCAUCAAUUUUUUAUUCACCCAGCCUAAAAGUCCUGAUUAUCAGUUCUGGGUCCCUGGCAAUGACUGUUGGGUACAAACUGAGAAGCUGUGCUCUGAAGGUAGGGCUGGGCUUUUCACUGACCAUGUAGGUGGAUUAGUUGUGUGGGCAAAGUGUGUCAUCAUAGCCACUAUGUUUUCUGCACUUGGAGUAGACAGCACCUUGAUAGCUCAGUUGGUAGAGCAGAGGACUGUAGGCAGUUCCUCCUAUGAAGUGCUGUGGUUCCAAGGUCGCUGGUUCAACUCCCGCUCAAAGCAAGCCUUCUGUUCAUCUGUCAGCUCCUCCAAAAUUUAAAAACACAAACAAGAUAACUCCUACUUUAUUUUCCAACCAUCAAUUUUUUAUUCACCCAGCCUAAAAGUCCUGAUUAUCAGUUCUGGGUCCCUGGCAAUGACUGUUGGGUACAAACUGAGAAGCUGCGCUCUGAAGGUAGGGCUGGGCUUUUCACUGACCAUGUAGGUGGAUUAGUUGUGUGGGCAAAGUGUGUCAUCAUAGCCACUAUGUUUUCUGCACUUGGAGUAGACAGCACCUUGAUAGCUCAGUUGGUAGAGCAGAGGACUGUAGGCAGUUCUUCCUAUGAAGUGCUGUCGUUCCAGGGUCGCUGGUUCAACUCCCGCUCAAAGCAAGCCUUGUGUUCAUCUGUCAGCUCCUCCAAAAUUUAAAAACACAAACAAGAUAACUCCUACUUUAUUUUCCAUACAUCAAUUUUUUAUUCACCCAGCCUAAAAGUCCUGAUUAUCAGUUCUGGGUCCCUGGCAAUGACUGUUGGGUACAAACUGAGAAGCUGUGCUCUGAAGGUAGGGCUGGGCUUUUCACUGACCAUGUAGGUGGAUUAGUUGUGUGGGCAAAGUGUGUCAUCAUAGCCACUAUGUUUUCUGCACUUGGAGUAGACAGCACCUUGAUAGCUCAGUUGGUAGAGCAGAGGACUGUAGGCAGUUCCUCCUAUGAAGUAAUGUGGUUCCAAGGUCGCUGGUUCAACUCCCGCUCAAAGCAAGCCUUGUGUUCAUCUGUCAGCUCCUCCAAAAUUUAAAAACACAAACAAGAUAACUCCUACUUUAUUUUCAAACCGUCAAUUUUUAAUUCACCCAGCCUAAAAGUCCUGAUUAUCAGUUCUGGGUCCCUGGCAAUGACUGUUGGGUACAAACUGAGAAGCUGUGCUCUGAAGGUAGGGCUGGGCUUUUCACUGACCAUGUAGGUGGAUUAGUUGUGUGGGCAAAGUGUGUCAUCAUAGCCACUAUGUUUUCUGCACUUGGAGUAGACAGCACCUUGAUAGCUCAGUUGGUAGAGCAGAGGACUGUAGGCAGUUCUUCCUAUGAAGUGCUGUCGUUCCAGGGUCGCUGGUUCAACUCCCGCUCAAAGCAAGCCUUGUGUUCAUCUGUCAGCUCCUCCAAAAUUUAAAAACACAAACAAGAUAACUCCUACUUUAUUUUCCAACCAUCAAUUUUUUAUUCACCCAGCCUAAAAGUCCUGAUUAUCAGUUCUGGGUCCCUGGCAAUGACUGUUGGGUACAAACUGAGAAGCUGCGCUCUGAAGGUAGGGCUGGGCUUUUCACUGACCAUGUAGGUGGAUUAGUUGUGUGGGCAAAGUGUGUCAUCAUAGCCACUAUGUUUUCUGCACUUGGAGUAGACAGCACCUUGAUAGCUCAGUUGGUAGAGCAGAGGACUGUAGGCAGUUCUUCCUAUGAAGUGCUGUCGUUCCAGGGUCGCUGGUUCAACUCCCGCUCAAAGCAA